rnacentral:ncRNA from 2 species
CUCUUAUCCAGAGUGGCAGAGGGACUGGCCCGAUGAAGCCCGACAACCGACAUUUUUCAUUUGAAUGCACGGUGUCAAUUCCUGCAGUAAGAAAUUACUGAAAGAUGAGAG